AUAUUUACCUGGCAGGGUACGUGCCAUGAUCACGAAUGUGGUUUUCUCAGGUGAUGAUCAUUCUUUGCAUGCCAGAUAUGUCGAACCCUGGGAUUUCUUUAAAUUCAGGGAACUCGACUGCAUAAUUUGUGAUAGUGGGGGGGUGGGGUUGAAUGAGUUUGAGCUCUCCUCUAGCCCUGUCCCCAC
ensembl:snRNA Gm26146 predicted gene, 26146